UUAAACGGAUGGAAGUGCUAAGUGUUUAAGGGGGUUUCCGCCCCCUUAGUGCUGCAGCUAACGCAUUAAGCACUCCGCCUUGGGGAGUACGGCCGCAAGGCUGAAACUCAAAGGAAUUGACGGGGGCCCGCACAACGGUGGAGCAUGUGGUUUAAUUCGAAGCAACGCGAAGAACCUUACCAGGUCUUGACAUCCCACUGACCGGUGUAGAGAUACACCUUUCCCUUCGGGGACAGUGGUGACAGGUGGUGCAUGGUUGUCGUCAGCUCGUGUCGUGAGAUGUUGGGUUAAGUCCCGCAACGAGCGCAACCCUUGAUCUUAGUUGCCAGCAUUUAGUUGGGCACUCUAAGGUGACUGCCGGUGACAAACCGGAGGAAGGUGGGGAUGACGUCAAAUCAUCAUGCCCCUUAUGACCUGGGCUACACACGUGCUACAACGGACGGUACAAAGGGUUGCCAACCCGCGAGGGGGAGCGAAUCCCAGAAAACCGUUCUCAGUUCGGAUUGUAGGCUGCAACUCGCCUGCAUGAAGCCGGAAUCGCUAGUAAUCGUGGAUCAGCAUGCCACGGUGAAUACGUUCCCGGGCCUUGUACACACCGCCCGUCACACCACGAGAGUUUGUAACACCCGAAGUCGGUGAGGUAACCCUUGUGGAGCCAGCCGCCGAAGGUGGGACGGAUGAUUGGGGUGCAAGUCGUAACAAGGUAGCCGUAUCGGAAGGUGUGGCUGGAUCACCU
rnacentral:rRNA from 1 species